CAAGUCGAACGGACCCUUCGGGGUUAGUGGCGGACGGGUGAGUAACACGUGGGAACGUGCCUUUAGGUUCGGAAUAGCUCCUGGAAACGGGUGGUAAUGCCGAAUGUGCCCUUCGGGGGAAAGAUUUAUCGCCUUUAGAGCGGCCCGCGUCUGAUUAGCUUGUUGGUGAGGUAAUGGCUCACCAAGGCUACGAUCAGUAGCUGGUCUGAGAGGAUGACCAGCCACAUUGGGACUGAGACACGGCCCAAACUCCUACGGGAGGCAGCAGUGGGGAAUCUUGCGCAAUGGGCGAAAGCCUGACGCAGCCAUGCCGCGUGUAUGAUGAAGGUCUUAGGAUUGUAAAAUACUUUCACCGGUGAAGAUAAUGACUGUAGCCGGAGAAGAAGCCCCGGCUAACUUCGUGCCAGCAGCCGCGGUAAUACGAAGGGGGCUAGCGUUGCUCGGAAUUACUGGGCGUAAAGGGAGCGUAGGCGGACAUUUAAGUCAGAGGUGAAAUCCCGGAGCUUAACUUCGGAACUGCCUUUGAUACUGGGUGUCUUGAGUGUGAGAGAGGUAUGUGGAACUCCGAGUGUAGAGGUGAAAUUCGUAGAUAUUCGGAAGAACACCAGUGGCGAAGGCGACAUACUGGCUCAUUACUGACGCUGAGGCUCGAAAGCGUGGGGAGCAAACAGGAUUAGAUACCCUGGUAGUCCACGCCGUACACGAUGAUUGCUAGUUGUCGGGAAGCUUGCUUCUCGGUGACGCAGCUAACGCAUUAAGCAAUCCGCCUGGGGAGUACGGUCGCAAGAUUAAAACUCAAAGGAAUUGACGG
rnacentral:rRNA from 1 species